AGUAGACGCCUACGCGGAUCCGCAUCCAAGUCGCGAAACCCGCGUGACUGUCACAUUCGUUUUGGCACCGCCCAGAGGAUCCGCUCCGCCUCCGGGCAGCGCGGUGAAUUCUACUAUCCCACACUGGACCCGUGUCGGAUCCGCUCCGCCUCCGGGCAGCGCGGUGAAUUCUACUGUCCGACACUGGAUCCGUGUCGGAUCCGCAGAAGUGGACGCGCCUUUACUGUAAAGGUUGAACUACAACCUCUUGGUGUGCUCUUGCUACGCCGAGACAAGAGUCAUAUCAGUGGAGAUUUUCUUUCUUAGGACACGGUUGCGCUGAACUAUCUGAGAUGCCUUUUCAUCUAAUUGAAUUUCAGGCAAGCGAGGACAUUGCUUUUGUGCCAGUUGACUGGUAUGAUGACGUGAUGGUGUACUGGCCCAGCUGAACGUGUGAAACGGGCAGCUGCUAACGAGGAGAAGCAUGAGCCAAACUGGCCAAGAUAUGACGUAAAGGUCGUCAGAACUUGUGACAACUACAAAGACGCCAUCAGGCUAAUGAAUCAAUAUCAGACCGGCUGCAACGCCUCUGAGCUACAGUCUGAGGCAGAGCAGGAGGGAUAGCUGCCAGAGAAAUGAUUCAGGAAGCCAAUCCAUCGUUUUGGGGACUCUGAUGAGAGUGAAGAAGAGCCAGAAAAUUCGGCUGGUGUAUCAGUUGGAGCCUCAAGCCCAAACCAAUUACACUGGCAGACUCCACCAUCUCACUGAGUGCCAUGCAGCAGAGUCACUACUCCUCAACCUGGAGGAAACUGUCUAGCACCUGACCAUGGGGCCGGACCCCAACACCCUUCACCACCUCAACUCCCUGCACCUGUAUUUAACAUGAGGAGAGUUACUCAAGGAACGGCAGUCCCUCCUCAACUCCCUCCACCUCCCGCACCGGCCCUCAACAUGAGGCGAACAGAGGAGCCCUCUUCAAGCCUGGCCUACAGACCAACAUGGCGAGGGGGAGGAAUGACCGAUACCAUUCCCUGCUCUGUGGCUGAGGUCCACAUCCUUAGCCUGCUGGAGACCAUUAAAUAACAACAAGACCAGCUUGUGGCAAAGGUGAACUACCUCAGCAGCAGGCUGAACAGCAACCCGGGGCCAGAUGUUGAGAUGCCGGACAAUAUCCAGUUUCCCCUAGGACAAUUGGAGGCAGUGGAGGCAUUUGAAAUGUUUUUAAAGGAACCGUCAAAUGGCCCAGCUCGACAGAGCGUGGUGCUGUGAGGAAAAACACAGUGACACGGUCAGCCACGGACGCAGAGGUCACCAAGCACGCAAUCAGGUGGUUCAACCUGGCAGCGGAUCGGGCAACGAGGAGACGUGUCCCGCCUCAAGCCACACAAACGGAGUAAUAGGAGAAAUAAGCAAUAAACAAUAUUUUUAUUGAA